CCUACGGGAGGCAGCAGUGAGGAAUAUUGGUCAAUGGACGAGAGUCUGAACCAGCCAAGUAGCGUGAAGGAUGACUGCCCUAUGGGUUGUAAACUUCUUUUAUAAAGGAAUAAAACGAGGCACGUGUGCCUUGUUGCAUGUACUUUAUGAAUAAGCAUCGGCUAACUCCGUGCCAGCAGCCGCGGUAAUACGGAGGAUCCGAGCGUUAUCCGGAUUUAUUGGGUUUAAAGGGCGCGUAGAUGGGUUGUUAAGUCAGUUGUGAAAGUUUGCGGCUCAACCGUAAAAUUGCAAUUGAUACUGGCAGUCUUGAGUACAGUUGAGGUAGGCGGAAUUCGUGGUGUAGCGGUGAAAUGCUUAGAUAUCACGAAGAACCCCGAUUGCGAAGGCAGCUUACUAACCUGUGACUGACAUUGAUGCUCGAAAGUGUGGGUAUCAAACAGGAUUAGAUACCCCAGUAGUC
rnacentral:rRNA from 1 species